CCUACGGGCGGCAGCAGUGAGGAAUAUUGGUCAAUGGCCGGAAGGCUGAACCAGCCAUGCCGCGUGAAGGUCAGUGCCCUAUGGGCGUUAAACUUCUUUUGUGCGGGAGCAAUAAUGGUCACGUGUGGCCAGACGAGAGUACCGUACGAAUAAGCAUCGGCUAACUACGUGCCAGCAGCCGCGGGAAUACGGGGGGUGCAAGCGUUAUCCGGAUUUAUUGGGUUUAAAGGGUGCGUAGGCUGGGAGGUAAGUCAGCGGUGAAAUGCCCCCGCUCAACGGGGUGAAGUGCCAUUGAUACUGCCUGGCUGGAAUGCGGAUGCCGUGGGAGGAAUGUGUGGUGUAGCGGUGAAAUGCAUAGAUAUCACACAGAACACCGAUUGCGAAGGCAUCUCACGAAUCCGCGAUUGACGCUGAUGCACGAAAGCGUGGGUAUCAAACAGGAUUAGAUACCCCAGUAGUC
rnacentral:rRNA from 1 species